rnacentral:rRNA from 1 species
GACGAACGCUGGCGGCGUGCUUAACACAUGCAAGUCGAACGGAAAGGCCCUGCUUUUGUGGGGUGCUCGAGUGGCGAACGGGUGAGUAACACGUGAGUAACCUGCCCUUGACUUUGGGAUAACUUCAGGAAACUGGGGCUAAUACCGGAUAGGAGCUCCUGCUGCAUGGUGGGGGUUGGAAAGUUUCGGCGGUUGGGGAUGGACUCGCGGCUGAUCAGCUUGUUGGUGGGGUAGUGGCUUACCAAGGCUUUGACGGGUAGCCGGCCUGAGAGGGUGACCGGCCACAUUGGGACUGCGAGACGGCCCAGACUCCUACGGGAGGCAGCAGUGGGGAAUAUUGCACAAUGGGCGGAAGCCUGAUGCAGCAACGCCGCGUGCGGGAUGACGGCCUUCGGGUUGUAAACCGCUUUCGCCUGUGACGAAGCGUGAGUGACGGUAAUGGGUAAAGAAGCACCGGCUAACUACGUG